rnacentral:tRNA from 1 species
GGGGGUGUGGUGAAAUGGUAGACACAACAGACUUAAAAUCUGUUGACCAGUUUGGUCGUGGGGGUUCAAGUCCCCCUGCCCCCA